GGGGGUGACUGGUUUCGACUUCGUACGUGGAGACAGGGGAAGCGAGCCGAGGAAGCCGACGUCGUCUCGAGAAUCGGUCGUCGGAAAUUUAUAAGCGCCAAGCAGAAUAGCGCUGACUCGUACGCUCUCGCCGCCUGAGGCGAGUAGCUAGAGUCUGUCGGUCUGGGAGUUCCUCCGGCCCAGUAACCGGCAUCAGCUAGGAGGAUGGCCAACAGGACCCGGUCGCGGGGUCCUCACGGCGAGAUUAAUUAGCGACUGGGCCCGUCACGGCAACUCGCUCACGUGAUUGCCGGGGCCGAGUAGAGACAUAGUGAGCUGCGCUCGGAGAAGCCCUGACAAAACAACGAAGGACCCGGGUUCGAUUCCCGGCACCUCCACGA
rnacentral:tmRNA from 1 species